AGCCCAGCUUGCUGGGUGGAUCAGUGGCGAACGGGUGAGUAACACGUGAGCAACCUGCCCCUGACUCUGGGAUAAGCGCUGGAAACGGCGUCUAAUACUGGAUACGAGUAGCGACCGCAUGGUCAGUUACUGGAAAGAUUUAUUGGUUGGGGAUGGGCUCGCGGCCUAUCAGCUUGUUGGUGAGGUAAUGGCUCACCAAGGCGUCGACGGGUAGCCGGCCUGAGAGGGUGACCGGCCACACUGGGACUGAGACACGGCCCAGACUCCUACGGGAGGCAGCAGUGGGGAAUAUUGCACAAUGGGCGCAAGCCUGAUGCAGCAACGCCGCGUGAGGGAUGACGGCCUUCGGGUUGUAAACCUCUUUUAGCAGGGAAGAAGCGAAAGUGACGGUACCUGCAGAAAAAGCGCCGGCUAACUACGUGCCAGCAGCCGCGGUAAUACGUAGGGCGCAAGCGUUAUCCGGAAUUAUUGGGCGUAAAGAGCUCGUAGGCGGUUUGUCGCGUCUGCUGUGAAAUCCGGAGGCUCAACCUCCGGCCUGCAGUGGGUACGGGCAGACUAGAGUGCGGUAGGGGAGAUUGGAAUUCCUGGUGUAGCGGUGGAAUGCGCAGAUAUCAGGAGGAACACCGAUGGCGAAGGCAGAUCUCUGGGCCGUAACUGACGCUGAGGAGCGAAAGGGUGGGGAGCAAACAGGCUUAGAUACCCUGGUAGUCCACCCCGUAAACGUUGGGAACUAGUUGUGGGGUCCAUUC
rnacentral:rRNA from 1 species